rnacentral:rRNA from 1 species
AUUGAACGCUGGCGGCAGGCCUAACACAUGCAAGUCGAGCGGAUGAAGGGAGCUUGCUCCUGGAUUCAGCGGCGGACGGGUGAGUAAUGCCUAGGAAUCUGCCUGGUAGUGGGGGAUAACGUCCGGAAACGGGCGCUAAUACCGCAUACGUCCUGAGGGAGAAAGUGGGGGAUCUUCGGACCUCACGCUAUCAGAUGAGCCUAGGUCGGAUUAGCUAGUUGGUGGGGUAAAGGCCUACCGAGGCGACGAUCCGUAACUGGUCUGAGAGGAUGAUCAGUCACACUGGAACUGAGACACGGUCCAGACUCCUACGGGAGGCCGCAGUGGGGAAUAUUGGACAAUGGGCGAAAGCCUGAUCCAGCCAUGCCGCGUGUGUGAAGAAGGUCUUCGGAUUGUAAAGCACUUUAAGUUGGGAGGAAGGGCAGUAAGUUAACACCGUGCUGUUUUGACGUUACCAACAGAAUAAGCACCGGCUAACUUCGUG